UACGGGGGGGGCAAGCGUUGUUCGGAAUUACUGGGCGUAAAGGGCUCGUAGGUGGCCAACUAAGUCAGACGUGAAAUCCCUCGGCUUAACCGGGGAACUGCGUCUGAUACUGGAUGGCUUGAGAUUGGGAGAGGGACGCGGAAUUCCAGGUGUAGCGGUGAAAUGCGUAGAUAUCGGAAGGAACACCGGUGGCGAAAGCGGCGCGCUGGACCUCUUCUGACGCUGAGGCGCGAAAGCCAGGGGAGCAAACGGGG
rnacentral:rRNA from 1 species